AGGACGAACGCUGGCGGCGUGCUUAACACAUGCAAGUCGAGCGGUAAGGCCUUUCGGGGUACACGAGCGGCGAACGGGUGAGUAACACGUGGGUGAUCUGCCCUGCACUUCGGGAUAAGCCUGGGAAACUGGGUCUAAUACCGGAUAUGACCUCCUAUCGCAUGGUGGGUGGUGGAAAGAUUUAUCGGUGCAGGAUGGGCCCGCGGCCUAUCAGCUUGUUGGUGGGGUAAUGGCCUACCAAGGCGACGACGGGUAGCCGACCUGAGAGGGUGACCGGCCACACUGGGACUGAGACACGGCCCAGACUCCUACGGGAGGCAGCAGUGGGAAUAUGCACAGUGGGCGAAAGCCUGAUGCAGCGACGCGCGUGAGGAUGACGGCCUCGGGUUGUAAACCGUCUUUCAGCAGGACGAAGCGCAAGUGACGUACCUGCAGAAGAAGCACCGGCUAACUACGUGCCAGCAGCCGC
rnacentral:rRNA from 1 species